rnacentral:rRNA from 1 species
UACGUAGGGGGCAAGCGUUGUCCGGAUUCAUUGGGCGUAAAGAGCGUGUAGGCGGCCAGGUAGGUCGGUUGUGAAAACUGGAGGCUCAACCUUCAGAGGUCGACCGAAACCAUCUGGCUAGAGUCCGGGAGAGGAGAGUGGAAUUCCUGGUGUAGCGGUGAAAUGCGCAGAUAUCAGGAGGAACACCGAUGGCGAAGGCAGAUCUCUGGGCCGUAACUGACGCUGAUGCGCGACGGCAUGGGGAGCAAACGAGGAUAGAA